rnacentral:rRNA from 1 species
UACGUAGGGGCUAGCGUUAUCCGGAAUUACUGGGCGUAAAGGGUGCGUAGGUGGUUUCUUAAGUCAGAGGUGAAAGGCUACGGCUCAACCGUAGUAAGCCUUUGAAACUGGGGAACUUGAGUACAGGAGAGGAGGGUGGAAUUCCUAGUGUAGCGGUGAAAUGCGUAGAUAUUAGGAGGAACACCAGUUGCGAAGGCGGCUCUCUGGACUGUAACUGACACUGAGGCACGAAAGCGUGGGGAGCAAACAGGAUUAGAUACCCUGGUAGUCCCUGAGCGGGCU